CCGAAUCCGAUCCGAAUCCGAUCCGAUUAAUCCGGUCCAUUUAUGCAAAUCCGAAUCCGAAUAUCUGUUUAACCCGUAUCUGUGUAGCCCGAUUUUAAACGGGUCGGACUCGGAUAAAUCCGAUCCAAUCCGUUUGUUUGCCUAAUCCGAUUCCAUUGAAAUCAGAUCUCUCAUAAACAGAUCUCUCUCAUCGUCUGAAAAGUGCGUUCUAUUGUUGAAGUUCAUCGUCUGAAGAUCAAAUCUCUCUCUCAUCGUCUGAAAAUGCUCCGAUUGAUGACGAUGAACCUAGCCAAAUCGAGCUCUCUGCUCCGAUUGGAUUCAUAACGCUCAAUUUCAAAGAACGAAGUCCAAAUCUUGUCAGAUCGGAGCUACGAACUAUGUUUUGGUGGCUGAUGUUAUCGUAGUAGAAGCAAAGAACAAGAGAAGAUACUGAAGAACUAAUAGAGAAGACCAAAAGAGACACAAACAUGUUUGGGAAACUAUUGUUAGCUCUCAGAUAGUAUAGCAUAGCUUGUUCUUCAUAGGAGUCUUUCAUGAGUUUUUUCUGGUUUUACUUUUGUGCCAAAAGUGUGUCAUAAAAUUCUGACCUCUUGUAAGUUAGAGAAUGCAGUGGCAAUGUUUUGGUGGCUGAUGUUACUUUUUUUUUUUGUCAAUGAUGGAAUUAUUCUUUUUGAGUUGGAUAUGAUUGGUGAUAGUGAAACUGAAUCACAUCACCGUUUAAUUUGCAACCAAGUGAUUGGUUUGUUGCUUUGUAAUGAUGCUCCAUUGUCUCUCAAAACCUGGUGACAUCUUUUGAGUUGUUUUUACACCAUGAAUGCAACAGUGACUUUUGUACUCUAUCUGGGAUAUGAUCAGGUUGAGUUAUUGAGCUGGGUUAGGCUUGUAAGCUUUGAAUUAGACUGCUCAGCUUAGUAUUGUUUGAUUUGAUUUGUAUGUUCAAAAUCCGAGAACAUAUGUUUAGCAUGUGUAAUGAAAUAGACUUGUUUCCAA